rnacentral:tRNA from 1 species
GCCCGCAUAGCUCAGUGGAUAGAGCGUCUGCCUCCGGAGCAGAAGGUCGUAGGUUCGACUCCUACUGCGGGCA